UACGGGGGGGGCAAGCGUUGUUCGGAAUUACUGGGCGUAAAGCGUAUGCAGGCGGAUCGUUAAGUCGGGGGUGAAAUCCCGAGGCUCAACCUCGGAACUGCCUUCGAUACUGGCGAUCUUCGAGUCCGGGAGAGGUGAGUGGAACUCCGAGUGUAGAGGUGAAAUUCGUAGAUAUUCGGAAGAACACCAGUGGCGAAGGCGGCUCACUGGCCCGGUACUGACGCUGAGAUACGAAAGCGUGGGGAUCAAACAGG
rnacentral:rRNA from 1 species